rnacentral:rRNA from 1 species
CCUACGGGAGGCAGCAGUAGGGAAUAUUGCGCAAUGGGCGAAAGCCUGACGCAGCAAAGCCGCGUGAUUGAUUAAGGCCUUCGGGGUGUACAGAUCUGUCAGUGGGGACGAAACUUGACGGUACCCACAGAGGAAGCACCGGCUAACUCCGUGGCAGCAGCCGCGGUAAUACGGAGGGUGCAAGCGUUGUCCGGACGCAUUGGGCGUAAAGAGUUCGUAGGUGGCAUAUUAAGUCUGGUGUUAAAUGCAGAAGCUCAACUUCUGUUCGGCACUGGAUACUGGUAGGCUUGAGUGUGGUAGAGGUGAGUGGAAUUCCUGGUGUAGCGGUGAAAUGCGUAGAGAUCAGGAGGAACAUCGGUGGCGAAGGCGCUUUCCUGGACCGUAAUUGACGCUGAGGUACGAAAGCCUGGGUAGCAAAUAGGAUUAGAUACCCUUGUAGUC